GUGAGGAAUAUUGCGCAAUGGGGGAAACCCUGACGCAGCGACGCCGCGUGAGUGAGGAAGGUCUUCGGAUCGUAAAGCUCUGUCAGAAGGGAAGAAGUGUUAUAUGGCCAAUACCCAUAUAAUUUGACGGUACCUUCAGAGGAAGCACCGGCUAACUCCGUGCCAGCAGCCGCGGUAAUACGGAGGGUGCUAGCGUUGUUCGGAAUUACUGGGCGUAAAGGGCGCGUAGGCGGCCUGAUAAGUCAGAUGUGAAAGUCCAUGGCUCAACCGUGGAAUUGCAUUUGAAACUGUCUGGCUUGAGUAUCGGAGGGGAGUGUGGAAUUCCCGGUGUAGAGGUGAAAUUCGUAGAGAUCGGGAGGAACACCGGUGGCGAAGGCGACACUCUGGACGAAUACUGACGCUGAGGCGCGAAAGCGUGGGGAGCAAACAGGAUUAGAAACCCUAGUAGUCC
rnacentral:rRNA from 1 species